AUCGGUUAGCCAUUGGAGAUGCUACUCAUAGUCAAUUGGUGAAAUCUUUGCCUCGUGAUCUUUCAAAGUAUGAGCAACUUCAGGAAAUUUUGGACUUAGUUGCUGUAUAUUCUAAUCCAUCCAGCUUCAAUCAGGGGAUGUAUUCUUUACGCUGGACAUAUUGGAAAGAGCUGGAUCUGUACCAUCCACGGUGGAACUCAAGGGAUUUGCAAGUUGCGGAAGAAAGAUACAUGCGCUAUUGUAGUGUCUCAGCAUUGACCACUCAGCUGCCU
rnacentral:misc_RNA from 1 species